rnacentral:rRNA from 1 species
GUCUACGGCCAUGCUAUCCUGAACAAGCCCAAUCACGUCUGAUCUCGGAAACUAAACAGGAUUAGGUCUGGUUAGUACUUGGAUGGGAGACCACCUAGGAAGAUCAGGUGCUAUAGGCA